GCUUAGCCCCGAUAGAAGUGGAAAUCCUUUUGUGCUGGGGUUCAGCACAAAAGAUUGAAACGGAUAGCGGGAUUAUUG
rnacentral:sRNA from 1 species